rnacentral:lncRNA from 1 species
CGCCUCAUUUCAUUUCCUCCGCCUCCUUCUCUUUUCUUUUUCUCUUUCUCUCCUUUUUUUCUCUCAUUUUGGUUGAAAGCCUGAAAACUGAAACCUCCUCUGUCAGACUGGUAAGUUCUCAUAAAAUACAUGCAUGUUUUUUUUAAGAUAAUUAAAAAAUAAUGUUAAAUUUACAUGAAAUCUUAAUUUAUAUUAAUAUAUUAUGUCAUAGUAUGUUAUUGCUAUCUGUUUGAAAAACAUGGAUCUACUUUUAUGUAUCUGUAUAUUCUGAAUAUAUUUUUACAUAUACAAACUCUUAAGAUUUUUUUUUUUUCAUUUAGUAGUAUGCAUUAUUUUUAUUUUUAACAAUUUCUUUUAUCAUAUAUAUAUAUAUAUAUAGCUAACUACAUUAACAAAUCACUUUAUUUAUUCAUCUCCCAAAAGAAAUUUAGAAGUUAAAAUUUUUUAGAUAUUAUAUUAAUUUAUACAUGAGCUCUUACAUAAGAUCUUAUUCACAAAUUAUAUUUCCUAUUAUUUAAUCAUCUGUUAUAUUGCUAUCAGGUAAGAAGAGAUCCAACAAAUACAUGCAUCAAAAACAUCAAUGGCCAAAUCCACGAUUUGAUCUUUCGCAGCAAAAACAUUACAGGUUAGUAUAUAAAAUCUAUAUUGCUCCUCAGAUCUACCUGUUUUUAGAACAUGCAAUAUUGUGCAAAGUGUCACAAAUAAUAUAUUAAAUUAAGUUAAAUAUAAUUUUGGUUUCUUAAUUGUUAACUUGAAAUUAUUAUUAUUUUAAUUUUAAAUUAAUUUAAUCUCUCAUAUUUAAAAUAGUAUAAAUUUAGUUUUUUAAUUAAAUUUUAUUUUGAUUAAAUAUAUUUUUCAAUUAACAUUGAAAAAAAUGUUAAAUAAUAUAAAUAAUUCAAAUGCUAUUAUAAUAUUUAUUAAAUAAAAUUUUUAAAAAAUUAACAUUUAUUAUAUAAUAUUUAAUUAUCAAUAAAUUACAUAUAUAUAUAUAUAUAUAUAUAUAUAUAUAUAUAUAUAUAUAUGUNNNNNNNNNNNNNNNNNNNNNNNNNNNNNNNNNNNNNNNNNNNNNNNNNNNNNNNNNNNNNNNNNNNNNNNNNNNNNNNNNNNNNNNNNNNNNNNNNNNNNNNNNNNNNNNNNNNNNNNNNNNNNNNNNNNNNNNNNNNNNNNNNNNNNNNNNNNNNNNNNNNNNNNNNNNNNNNNNNNNNNNNNNNNNNNNNNNNNNNNNNNNNNNNNNNNNNNNNNNNNNNNNNNNNNCUAAUAUUAAAGUGAAAUUUCAUCAUUUCAUAAUAUAUUUUAUAAAACUAUGAGUACAAACCAUUAGUCACAUGUUUUACAUAAUUAAAUUUUAAUAUAUCUGAUUAAUAUAUGAUAUUUUAUAAAUCAAAAUAUUUCAACCGAAACUAUGAAUGAAAUAUCAAGAAAAAUUAUUAAAAUAAUUAAGAUCAUUAUCAAUCUUCACUAAUGCAUAUAAAAUUUAUAUUAUAUCUAAAAUCAAAGAAUUUACUACUAAUUAAAAGUGAAUAUUCGAUUUUUCACAGUAAAGACAAUACAAUGUAAAAAACCUCAUUAUGUUAGCAUCCAAAUUUAAUGCAACACAAUAAUUUUAAAUAAAAUAUAUAUAAACAUUGUUUUUGUAAAAAAUAUUAAACAAAUAUUAUUAGACAAAUAUCACUUAUUAAAAAGAGAUAAGUGUAUUUGUCAUAUUAAUAUUAAUAAAUUAUUCAACGAGUUUUGUCAUAAUAAUAUUAAUAAAUUAUUCAACGAAUUAAAAGUUAACGGUUAUAAAAUAAGCAUUUCAUCAUCUGUUACAGUAACUUGGAUGCUAAUAUAAUAAGGUAAUGAGAUUUUGUAUAAUAUGUAAUGUCUUGUGAAAAUCAAAUGUAUAUUUCAUUGGCAGCAUAAUAUCAGAUAAAAAAAUUCCAUUUACAUUUUUUAUGAAUGUCAAAUUUAGCAUUAUCUUAUUUAUUGAUUUGAAAAAAGAAAACACAAUAGCUAAUUUCAUAUACUUGUAUACCGUUUAUGUCAUUAUGCAAAUAAGUAAGAAAAGAUGCAAUAUUGUGGAGGAAAUAUCAACUUAGUUGCAUGAUAUAUCAUCAAAUUAUUUACCAAAUUUAUUUUUUAACAUUGCUUAGUAUAUAUGAGAAACUAUCACUUUACAAUAUUAUUAAUAUUUAAAUUGAUUAAGUUUUUCUUUGUAGUUAAUACAUUAUUAAUUAAUGAUAUAUUACACUCUCAAAUGUCCUUUAAUGCACUAAUAUCACAAUGCAAUUAAUUGAAUUCACACUUAAGAAUGUGAGUUAAGACAGCAAUUUGAUUGAAACAUGAUCUAAGAGCACACUCUCCUUUAAGAUUCGAUCUGAAAUCUGAUGCAACAUGCUGCCUUCAGCUCUAUACCCUGAUAGUCCUUCAUGCUUUUUGUUAUAUUAUUAUUCAUAUAAAACAAUUCUCAUCAUAUCCAUAUAUAAUCUUUUAACCUUUAUGCAAUAAGACUUCCAUUAAGUUGCUCUGCAAUUUCUCCCUCUCUGUCGCUUCUUAAGUAAAAGUGUUUUGGUACGAGGCUUUCAAUAUACUAUUCCAAUGAAAAAUAACAUGUUUCAAGAUAAUUAUAGUUUAAUUUUGAAUAAUAAAAAGCUCUACCUAUUUGUUUCAAGGUAUUUGUUUAUGUAUAUAUACCUGAAACCACUUUAUGAUAUUAUUAUUUAUUAUUAUUAUUAUCAGAUAAAAUUUAUUAAAUAUAGAAGCUACAUCAGAGCACAAAUAUCAAAUGGUUAAAAUAACAUUCUCCAUCACAACCCUUAUGCAUAUUCACUUGUAUGAAUUUUAUUCCUAAAAGGUUCCCAAAAGUGUAGUGAAUUGCUGUGGUCUCUGUAGAUGGUGUGAAGUCUACAUAAAAUGAAAUAGACAAUAGAGCUGAAGGUGGUUGGAGAGCGUAAUGAAAAUCAAGUGAAAGAGAAGCUAUACAGAAAAUGGUAACUAAUUUAUCCAUGGUAAGAAAAUCAUGGCAAAGUGGUGUACUACCUUGACAAUUUAGGGUUGAAAAAUGUUUAGAAAGAAAAAACCUAGAGCUUUCUUAAUCCUACUAAACUUGUCAUGAGUUCUACCAUUGCUUUCUUGCCAAAAACAUCAUAAGUUAUCUGACUCUUCAUAUUAUCAGUUGGCAUUUCAUAGUUACAUAAUAUUUUCAUAAUCAAGAUUAUAUAUUACAUAGAAUAAGCAUAAUAAUGAGAGUUGAAAUUUAAAUUGUUAAUUUAGACAUACAAAUAUAAAUAUAUAUAUAUAUAUAUAUAUAUAUAUAUAUUACACGAGGUUUCUUAUAUAUAGAAACUAACCAAAUCACUAGGCAAAGCUCUAAGUGAUAUCUGUAGAAACUAAAACCAGUCUUAAGGUACAGAGUUAAAACAACAUUUGAAGAGUUUGCAAUUAAGAGAGCUAAUGGUCAUGGCAAUUAAAACAAACUUAUACAUUAUUAUGCUCGUAUUUUAAUUUUUUUAUUAUUAUCAAAGUAAAAGUAUAACUUAAAUAAGAUUAAAAAUGUGAACCCAAAAAGGAAAAGAAUCAUCUUACAAUGUCACUUCUUUCAAUUUUGACAAUGUUUUCUGUAGGGUUCCCAUGUUUGCUGGGAAAAAUAUCUAAAUCUUCAUCUAACUCAUCAAGAAUAUAAUUUGGCUUCUUUAUUCUAGAUUUUUCACGAAGUCGAUAUGCAACUAUUUAUAUUCUGCCAUGAUAGAAUUUUCUUAUAAACAAAUAGAAACAACAACAGAAAACUUUUUGUAUCAACAAAAAAAAAAACUUCAGGAAACAAAUAAUAUAUCAAAAAUUGUUAAAACUUCUUCUACAUUUAUCAUCAAUCAAGGAAAUAAAUUGAAAUUUUAGGGAAGAAGCAAGUUACACUAACAGUUGAAUCACUUUUCACAAUGUUUUUUCUAGGUCUCCCUCGUUUCCUAGGGAGAAUAACUGAAUCGUUUGAAUCAUCAAUAAUAUUUUUCCGUUUCUUUUGACGGGAGCUUCCAGGAAGCCCUUCAACCAAGUCACCCAUAUUCUGUUAAGAUAGAAUUUUCUCAUAUAUUUCUGCAUGCUUAUGAGAAAAUUCUAUCUUAGCAAAAUAUGAGUGGCUUGGUUGAAGGGCUUCCUAGAAGCUUCCGUCAAAGGAAACGGAAAAAUAUUAUUGAUGAUUCAAAUGAUUCAAUUAUUCUCCCUAGGAAACGAGGGAGACCUAGAAAAAACACUGUGAAAAGUGAUUCAACUGUCACUGUAACUUGCUUCUUCCCUAAAAUUUCAAUUUAUUUCCUUGAUUGAUGAUAAAUGUAGAAGAAGUUUUAACAAUUUUUGAUAUAUUAUUUGUUUCCUGAAGUUUUUUUUUGGUUGAUACAAAAAAUUUUCUGUUGUUGUUUCUAUUUGCUUAUAAGAAAAUUCUAUCAUAGCAGAAUAUAAAUAGUUGCAGAUCGACUUCGUGAAAAAUCUCGAAUAAAGAAGCCAAAUUAUAUUCUUGAUGAGUUAGAUGAAGAUUUAGAUAUUUUUCCUAACAAACAUGGGAACCCUUCAGAAAACAUUGUCAAAAUUGAAAGAAGUGACAUUGUAAGAUGAUUUUUUUCCUUUUUGGGUUUAUAAUUUUAAUCUUAUUUAAGUUAUACUUUUACUUUGAUAAUAAUAAAAAAAUUAAAAUACUAGCAUCAUAAUCUAUAAGUUUGUUUUAAUUGCCAUGACUACUAGCCCCCUAACCGCAAACUCUUCGGAUGUUGCUUUAACUAUACCUUAAAAUUGUUUUUAGUUUCGAGAGAUAUCACUUAAGUGAUAAAGCUUUGCCUAGUGAUUUGAUAUAUAUAUAUAUAUAUAUAUAUAUAUAUAUAUAUAUAUAUAUAUAUAUAUAUAUAUAUAUAUAUAUAUAUAUAUACAUGUAUAUACAUAGAUGUAUAUACAUGUAUAUACAUGUAUAUACAUAUAUAUGUAUAUACAUGUAUAUACAUACAUGUACAUACAUAGAUGUAUAUACAUGUAUAUAUCUAUGUAUAUACAUACAUGUACAUACAUAGAUGUAUAUACAUAGUAUACAUGUAUAUUCAUGUAUGUAUAUAUAUAUAUAUAUCCAUAUAUACAUACAUGAAUAUACAUGUAUACUAUGUAUAUGCACCUAUGUAUGUACAUGUAUGUAUAUUCAUAGAUAUAUACAUGUUGGAGGAAGUCACGCCGCGUACGACGGUUCGACCUCUACCUUUGCUACCCUAACCUACUCUCUUUUCCUUUUAAAACAAAACGCCCCGAAGGCCUAAGGUAAUCUCCUGUGUUUUUUGCUUAAGGAUUCAACUCCUUUGUUGCUUAAUUUCAUUAUCUGUUUUGCUUCGAGAAGCUGUUUUAUAGGUAUCACUACAAAAAAUAUUAAUUUUACGAGGGUUUUUUUUAGUAUUUCCAGGGGUUUUAACCUCCAAACAAAACCUUUCCCGCGGUUCAGAGAGCCACUGGGAAAACCAGUGUCCCAAAAUUACCAACGGAACUAGCCAGGGUUUCUAGAAAACCGCCCCAAUUUUCAAGGGUUUUGGACAAACCACCGGAAUUAAUCCGAGUUGUGCCAAACCGCUCCUAUUUCGAGGGGUUUUUAAAAAACCGUCGGAACUAACCAGGGUUAUGCUAAACCGCUCCUAUUACAUUGAACCUCCCCUUUUUUCCAGGGGUUUCCAAAAAACCGUCGGAAAUGCUUCCAGUUUUUUUUUUUUUUUUGUUGCCAAGGGUUCUUCCUUAACUGACUCAACCACGUUUAGUGAGUUCUCUUUAUCCAUCCCCUCUCUCUAAAACUCUCAUUUUUCUCAUACUAAGAUACAUUACCAAUUACUUCCUUAAAAAUUGAAUUUGGGCGGGCAUAUAAUAAUUUAGAAACUGGUAAACAAUAAUAAAGAAAUAUAAGACAAAAACUAAAAUAUUAUAGACUACGGAAAUAAUGAGUGUGUUAAUAAUGGACAGUCUUCAGGAUCAUCUACACUAUAUCUGAGUGAUAUUAGAGUCGUUUUGGAACUACAAUGAACUGAAAUAUUAAGAAAAACUUCAAUGUCUUACAUAUUCAACAAGACCAAAUAUUUCUAUUGUGAGAAGAUCUUUUCCUAGCUUGCCUCGAUGCCAAAAGAAGUUGCAAAAUGAUGUAUCAUCCGUGUUAUGAUUCUCUUCUAGGCCAUCUAACAAGGAUUUACCAAGGUGCUCUGCAUAUUCAUCUUCAAGUAAUUCCACAACCUUUCCUUCACCACCUAGCACAUUGCAUUUGAAGCAUGAGUUAAGCGAAAUAUUUUGAGUUAUGACAUUUAGCAUCAUGAUAUGCGGUCUUCUUUAAAACAGAAAUUCAAAAAAGUGAGUAUAACAUCAAAUAAUAAGUUGUUGACUUGGGGAGCUGAAGUGCUUCCGAAAAUCCUUUUCUAUUUUUUAUUCCAGUUCCCUAAGACUACGUCCUUCAUGAACAACUUUCAGUUGCAGAUAUAACAUGUAACUUCUCUUUUACUUUACUUCUUGCAUUUCUCAAAUAGCCAUGUUUAGAUUCAGAGAUAGAUUCCCUGUGGAAUGAUGCGUGUCCAUUAAGUACUGCUUGAUGUUACUGAUCUGAAAAGUAUAACAUCGCUGGCAGAUUUCAUCAAAAGUAAGAAAAAACUUGUGGUUUUUGUUGGUUGUAAUCUUGUCAUCAACCUUUUUUAUAAAUCAGUUGAUAGAGUAACAUAAACAUAUUGGAAACAUGGAAAUUGUGUAGGUAAACAAUGCUGGAAUUCCUGGAGCACAUGUGGACGCUGAGGCUUUGUCUGCUGCUGGCAUUAUGUUAUGGAAUUAGUAUAUCUGAAAUGUUGGAAAAUUUGUAUAUUUUACAAUGCUGGAAGAGAUUGAUGAAGUGUGCAUAACUUGAAUCAAGCAUUUAAAACUUCACAUUCAUGGCUUGCACUUAUAGAUGUUUCCCUUAAUCAAUUCACCAAAGAAAUCAAGUUUAUGGUUAAGUUGUUUGGUGCAGGAAAAUGCUGGUCGUGUUGAAUUCUUGAUGUUAGAAAUAUUAUAUAUAAGACAAUUAUUGCAGUAUACUAAAUGAGUGAGUUCUAGUCAAUUGCACCGGCAACAACAACCAAUCAUCAUACUUUCCUCACCAAAACAUAAAGCUUAAUAAACUCAUAUUUAGCUUUAUUCCAUGUUAUUGUGCAUAGUUUUAUUAAAUGUGUAAGUAAACAACAUAGUAUUUAGCUUGUUGCAAUUAUGCUAUAACAUGUAAAAGUGCAUACAUAAAUAGUGAUGGAGAUUAGUUCUUAAGCAAGAAUCUUGAGCUGAGAAUGUAAGAAAAAGAUCGCUUAUAACAUGCAACGGAGAAAAUUGCAUGAUCACAAUUCAAUAACUCAUGAAAAAGAGGGAAAUUGACUUACCUACACCGAAUCGGAAAUUGAUCGGUCUAGAACGUAGCUCUCAGCUCAAGGAUCGCUCAGGAACUUCCUGAUCAACAAUUGAACGGUUAAAUUUUGAGAUGGUGUAGUGAGAAGGUAGAGAAUUUAGAAGAUAUGUUUCUAGAGAGAGAAAACUGUUAAUAAAAUGAACGAGGAUCUAUUUUUUUUUUCUAUUUAUAUUAGAAUAAAAAUUGAAGUCCUUAUGGUCAACAUCUAUGUCCAAAACCGACACAUAUACUAGGAUCUUCU